rnacentral:rRNA from 1 species
UACGUAGGGACCAAGCGUUGUUCGGAUUUACUGGGCGUAAAGGGCGCGUAGGCGGUGCGGUAAGUCACUUGUGAAAUCUCUGAGCUUAACUCAGAACGGCCAAGUGAUACUGCAGUACUAGAGUGCGGAAGGGGCAAUCGGAAUUCUUGGUGUAGCGGUGAAAUGCGUAGAUAUCAUCAGGAACACCCGUGGCGAAAGCGGCGCGCCUGGACCACUACUGACGCUGAGGAACGAAAGCAGGUAGGGAGCAAACAGG